rnacentral:tRNA from 1 species
AAUUGUUUAAUCUAAUGAAGGUACUUGUUUUGAAAACAAGGCAUAAAAGUUCGAAUCUUUUAACAAUUU